rnacentral:lncRNA from 1 species
UGAAAGUCGAGACGAGAAAGCUCGCGGGUGCCCGUUAGGAUUUGUGGGGUGAGACGGGAGAAUUCACACCAGUCCCAGCUGCCCUCCAGGGAAACAGAACCCACGAACGUGUCACGUCUGCGUUUAUCGAUAACCGCGUGUGCGCGGAGGGGCUGUGCUCAGUGUCCCGCGUGAGGCUCCCGGGAGAGCUCCCUCCCCUUCCGCGUCUGGCUCUGGGAGGGCCCUGGGCGGCCAAUCAGGAUCCCCAUUGCCUUCGCCGAAGUGCUGUGUCCGGUGCAGGCCUGUGACCCACGUGGCCUCCAACAGGGUCCCUGUUUAUCGCGCUGUCGUGGUCGUGGGGUUUGAGGAAGAAAGCCCAGCGCUGGCGCCAUUUGGUCUCCCAUCCAAGUUCUAACCGGGUCCGACCCUGCUUAGCUUCCGAGAUCAGAUGAGCUCGUAGGCGUUCGGGGGGCAUGGCCGUAGACUUUGGCCACUUGGUACCACGGUGGGCUGAGGGGCUGCGGGUGGGAAGGCGAUUUGAGGAGCACAUUUGCAGGCAGCAGACUGUGGCUUCCAGAACCGACUGUGCCCGAGGAUAAGGCCUGAACUUCAACAACCUGCAAGUGGGUUGAGCAACCCGUUUCACCGUUGAGGAGACAGAGCGCUGGCCCAGCCUGGACCCGGAGCUGAGGUUCCUGUUUCCUGGCUCACCUGGAGGCUCCUGCAGUUGGCCAGAUGAGACCCUGACGUGGAAACAAAUCUCUCGGGCACAGGCACACUUCAGGUGUUCAACCAUUCAGCCAAGAUCACGGCCAGUGAGCUGUGGAGAAGGAACCCACAUCUGCCUGGAUCACGAUUCUUUCCACCACUGGGUAGAAGGUAAGUGAGGAAUCUGAGUGUCUGGCAGCA